AUGAAUUCCUCCGCCAAUUUCCUGUCGAUCCUGGUGCUGCUGGUGUUCUUGGCCGCGGGGAAUGCGCGAGCGCAGCCCCAGCCGAUCCUCAUCAACUGCGCCUCGGAUUCCACCACCAGCGUCGACGCCAGGACAUGGAUUGGGGAUUCUUCCCCUUCCAACAACUUCACGCUCAGCUUCCCCGGAGCCAUCGCCUCGGCGGCUCCGGCUCCGGCUCCGGCUCCGGGAGUUGAUGGAGAACAAGACCCGUACGGAGAUUUGUACAAGACCGCCCGUGUCUUCAACGCCUCCUCCAGCUACAGGCUCGCCGUCGCCCCCGGGAGCUACUUCCUCCGCCUCCAUUUCAGCCAGCAGUUCGCCAAUCUCGGCGCCCAGGAGCCCAUCUUCAGUGUCGCGGCAAAUGGCCUGAGGCUGCUCUCCAAGUUCAGUGUCCACGGGGAGAUUUCUUGGAGGGAUUCCCAGAUCAACUCAACCAGCAGCGUCAUCGUCAAGGAGUACCUUCUCAAUGUCACUUCUGGUAAACUGGGCAUUGAGUUCACCCCCGAUGAAGGGUCCUUCGCCUUCAUCAAUGCCAUGGAGGUUCUCCCUGUGUCUGGCACCUCUAUUUUUGAUUCAGUCAACAAGGUGGAUGCUCAUGGGUUGAAAGGCCCUUUUAGCCUCGACGGCGGCGGGAUCGAGACCAUGUACAGGCUGUGUGUGGGAUGCAGAGAUGUACUGACGAGGAAAGAGGAUCCAGGAUUGUGGAGGAGGUGGGAUAAAGAUGACCAUUUCAUAUUCUCUCUGAACGCCGCGAAUUCCAUCUUCAACUCUUCCAACAUAAGUUAUGUGUCUGCUGAUGAUCCCACGGUAGCCCCUUUGAGGCUCUAUCAGAGUGCAAGGGUGCCAACAGAGAGUUCGGUCUUGGGAAAGAAGUUCAAUGUCUCAUGGAGCUUUAACAUUGACCCUGGCUUUGAUUACUUGGUCCGGCUGCAUUUCUGCGAGCUGCAGUAUGACAAGGCCGAGCAACGCAAGUUCAAGAUUUACAUAAACAACAAGACCGCUGCAGAGGGCUAUGAUGUGCUUGCCAGAGCUGGGGGCAAGAACAAGGCCUUUUAUGAAGACUUCCUUGAUGCUGCCUCACCGCAGAUGGACACUCUUUGGGUUCAGCUGGGGUCUGAGUCUUCAGCAGGUUCCGCGGCUGCUGAUGCUCUUCUCAAUGGCAUGGAGAUCUUUAAGGUCAGCCGGGAAGGAAAUCUUGCCCAUCCAACCGUCAGGAUUGGAGGCUUCAGUGGUGGCACAAGCAAACCAAAACGGAGCCCCAAGUGGGUGCUAAUUGGUGCUGCUUCCGGUCUGAUAAUUUUUAUCGCAAUUGCUGCUGCUCUUUAUUUAUGUUUCAAUCUGCGACGGAAGAAAAAUAGUUCAGCCAGCAAAGCCAAGGACAAUCCCCAUGGUGCUGCACAUACCCGUUCUCCAACUCUUCUCACGGCUGGGGCAUUUGGGAGCAAAAGGAUGGGCAGGCGGUUCACCAUUGCAGAAAUCAGAACAGCCACUGUGAACUUUGAUGAGUCCUUGGUGAUUGGGGUUGGAGGCUUUGGCAAGGUCUACAGGGGUAUAAUGGAGGAUGGCACUCGGGUGGCAAUUAAGAGGGGUUACACAGAUUCUCACCAGGGUCAGGGUGUGAAGGAAUUCGAAACUGAGAUCGAGAUGCUCUCAAGGUUGCGGCACCGGCACCUUGUGCCCUUGAUUGGCUAUUGUGAUGAGCAAAACGAGAUGGUCUUAGUUUAUGAGCACAUGGCAAAUGGCACAUUAAGGAGCCAUCUUUAUGGAAGUGACCUUCCUGCUCUUACAUGGAAGCAAAGGCUCGAAAUAUGUAUCGGCGCAGCACGAGGGCUUCACUACCUUCACACUGGGCUUGACAGAGGUAUAAUCCACAGGGACGUCAAGACUACCAACAUUUUGUUAGACAACAACCUUGUUGCCAAGAUGGCAGAUUUUGGCAUCUCAAAAGAUGGUCCAGCUUUAGAUCAUACUCAUGUUAGUACUGCUGUCAAAGGGAGUUUUGGUUACCUCGAUCCAGAGUACUAUAGGAGACAGCAGUUAACGCCAAGUUCAGAUGUGUACUCUUUUGGUGUCGUGCUGUUUGAAGUGCUGUGUGCUCGACCAGUCAUAAAUCCAACCCUGCCAAGAGACCAGAUAAACCUUGCUGACUGGGCUCUCAACAGGCAAAGGCACAAGUUACUUGAGACCAUAAUCGACCUUCGAUUGGAUGGAAAUUACACACUGGAGUCCAUCAGAACAUUCAGCGAGAUAGCAGAAAAAUGCCUUGCAGAUGAGGGGGUGAACCGGCCUUCGAUGGGCGAAGUCCUCUGGCACCUAGAGAGUGCUUUGCAGUUGGAACAAGGUCAUCUGCAAAGCACAAAUGGUGAUGGUUGUUCAGACCCUCAACUGAAGCCUUCUGAUGUACCUACCCAUGUGGCGUGCAUCAAAGAAGUUGAGCAAUCCACUCGUCCAGGCUCCCACGAUUCAGAUGGGCAAGUUGUCGAUGUCAAGAUUGAGGUGCCAUGA
rnacentral:rRNA from 1 species